rnacentral:rRNA from 1 species
GAUGAACGCUGGCGGCGUGCCUAAUACAUGCAAGUCGAGCGAACGGACGAGAAGCUUGCUUCUCGGUUGUUUGCCGCGGACGGGAGUGUCACGCGUGUAUAAUCUACUUAUAAUACUGGUAUCUUUUCGGGAAUCCGGAGCUAACCCCGGAUAAUCUUUUGAACCGUGUGGUUCAAUAGUAAAAGUCGGUCUUGCUGGCUCUUAUAGCUGGAUCCGCGCUGCAUUAGCUAGUUGGUAAGGUAACGGCUUACCAAGGCAACGAUGCAUAGCCGACCUGAGAGGCUGAUCGGCCACACUGGAGCUGAGACAGGGUCCAGACUCCUACGGGAGGCAGCAGUAGGGAAUCUUCCGCAAUGGGCGAAAGCCUGACGGAGCAGCGCCGCGUGAGUUAUGAAGAUCUUCGGAUCGUAAAACUCUGUUAUUAGGGAAGAACAGAUGUGUAAGUAACUGUGCACAUCUUGACGGUACCUAGUCAGAAAGCCACGGCUAACUACGUG